rnacentral:rRNA from 1 species
AGUGAACGCUGGCGGUAGGCCUAACACAUGCAAGUCGAACGGCAGCACAGUAAGAGCUUGCUCUUACGGGUGGCGAGUGGCGGACGGGUGAGGAAUACAUCGGAAUCUACUUUUUCGUGGGGGAUAACGUAGGGAAACUUACGCUAAUACCGCAUACGACCUACGGGUGAAAGCAGGGGAUCUUCGGACCUCGCGCGAUUGAAUGAGCCGAUGUCGGAUUAGCUAGUUGGCGGGGUAAAGGCCCACCAAGGCGACGAUCCGUAGCUGGUCUGAGAGGAUGAUCAGCCACACUGGAACUGAGACACGGUCCAGACUCCUACGGGAGGCAGCAGUGGGGAAUAUUGGACAAUGGGCGCAAGCCUGAUCCAGCCAUACCGCGUGGGUGAAGAAGGCCUUCGGGUUGUAAAGCCCUUUUGUUGGGAAAGAAAAGCGGCAGGUUAAUACCCCGCUGUUCUGACGGUACCCAAAGAAUAAGCACCGGCUAACUUCGUG